UACGAAGGGGGCUAGCGUUGCUCGGAAUCACUGGGCGUAAAGCGCACGUAGGCGGCUUGUUAAGUCAGGGGUGAAAUCCUGGAGCUCAACUCCAGAACUGCCUUUGAUACUGGCGAUCUUGAGUCCGGGAGAGGUGAGUGGAACUGCGGGUGUAGAGGUGAAAUUCGUAGAUAUUCGCAAGAACACCAGUGGCGAAGGCGGCUCACUGGCCCGGUACUGACGCUGAGGUGCGAAAGCGUGGGGAGCAAACAGG
rnacentral:rRNA from 1 species